UACAGAGGGGGCCAGCGUUAUUCGGAAUUACUGGGCGUAAAGGGCGCGUAGGCGGCCUUCUUAGUCGGACGUGAAAUCCCCAGGCUCAACUUGGGAACUGCGUCUGAUACUGGAUGGCUUGAAUCCGGGAGAGGGAUGCAGAAUUCCAGGUGUAGCGGUGAAAUGCGUAGAUAUCUGGAGGAAUACCGGUGGCGAAGGCGGCAUCCUGGACCGGCAUUGACACUGAUGAGCGAAAGCCAGGGGAGCAAACGGG
rnacentral:rRNA from 1 species